rnacentral:miRNA from 1 species
AUCCCCAGAUGCAAUGGACAAU